rnacentral:tRNA from 1 species
UGCCCCGUAGUUUAGUGGUAGAACGCCUGGUUCUGAUCCAGGUAACCGAGGUUCGAAUCCUUGCGGGGCAA